rnacentral:tRNA from 1 species
GCGGGAAUAGCUCAGUGGUAGAGCACGACCUUGCCAAGGUCGGGUGCGGGUUCGAUCCCCGUUUCCCGCUCCA